ensembl:lincRNA
CUGCCCAAUAUGUUCGGUGACCUUCGAUCAACAUUUAUUGCCUUGAUGAUUGGAUCCUAUGCUUCCUCAGCAGUUACCUUCCCGGGAAUCAAGCUCAUCUACGAUGCUGGUGCCUCCUUCAUUGUCAUCCUGGUGGUCUGGGCUGGCUGUUCUGGCCUGGUCUUCCUCAACUGUUUCUUCAACUGGCCACUAGAACCCUUCCCAGGACCAGAGGACAUGGACUACUCGGUGAAGAUCAAGUUCAGCUGGCUGGGCUUUGACCACAAGAUCACAGGGAAGCAGUUCUACAAGCAGGUGACCACAGUGGGGCGCCGCCUGAGCGUGGGUAGCUCCAUGAGGAGUGCCAAGGAGCAGGCUGCGCUGCAGGAGGGCCACAAGCUGUGCCUGUCCACCGUUGACCUGGAGGUGAAGUGCCAGCCUGAUGCUGCAGCGGCCCCCUCGUUCAUGCACAGUGUGUUCAGCCCCAUCCUGCUGCUCAGCCUGGUUACCAUGUGUGUCACACAGCUGCGGCUCAUCUUCUACAUGGGGGCCAUGAACAGUAUCCUUGAGUUCUUGGUCAGCGGGGACCAGAAGACAGAUCUUCUCCUUCGUCCUGCACACAAUUGUGCGAGGAUUCAUCCACUCUGCAGUAGGGGGCCUGUAUGCUGCUGUGUAAGUCCUGGAAGCUCUGGGUGGUGUGGUGGCCCUGACCCGAGGGAACUGCUGGUGACAUGGAGACCCUGAAACUGGCCUAUCCUACCCUUCUGGCAUGUUUCAUCCUGUAUCAGGGGACAAGUACUAGGGUUUCUGCUGACCGUGUCAGUUAAGGCCACCAUACUGAUAGCAGGUGAGUCAGUAGGCAGACAGUUGGGUGCCCACAAGGCAUGGCAUUUAACACGAAGUCAGUCUUUCAGCUGGGGUCAGUGCGUAGGGCCUCAGGGCUUGCUGUCCAGCCGGAGUCCUGACACUGUCCCUGGCUGCUCACAGGGACAGGGUUGGGUUCUGGCUGCCUGGAGCUAAAUACUAAAGUGUAAAUAGUCCUCAAUAGGCGCAGUGACAUGAAUAACCCAAAAGUACUGGGCUGUCCUCACCCAGGGCCUCAAAGGGCCCAUUUGCUGGCCACAAUCUCCUUGAACCCUGCCUACAUCUUUUCCAGGAAGCUACACAGCUGUUCCUCCUUCUUUUGCCCAGGGCUUGGUCCACAAAUUGAAACCCAAGUUCCGUUGUCCACCGUCUGUGACCAUGAAUGCAGCUCCUUCUUGCUCAGGGCUCCAUUGUACCUGGGGGGGCUGCAGAGCUUAAUGCUCCCCAAGAUUAAAUCCAGGACUCCUUCACUCUUUGAGCAGCAUCUUACAGGGGUUAUUCCAGGUCCUCCUGUCCUCCGAGUGGUCUUCCCUGCCCCAGGCUUGGAGGAAGUUGUGGCUGCCCUGGCAGGGUGUGAGGGAGUCGGGCAAGUGUGAUGCUGAGUUUCCGUGAUUGUGCAAUGCUCUUGGAGGAGGGUACAGCAGAGCCAGGCUCAGCCUCCAACCUGCUUCCCGGGAAUGUUUCCCAAGCCGCAGACUCUGCUGGCAACCAUCCUUUCCACUUUGCUCAGCCUGACACCCUCAGGCUGGGGGCACAUCUGAGCAUGGGAGAGGCUUUCUCCAGUCUGAAGCCUCAGGGGCUGGCACCCAACCAUCCUGAGGCUGGUCCUGGCCUCUUCCCACAAGCACCAAUGGUGCAGCUCCUGUUACCAGCAUACCUGAGCCAGGCUAGUGAGGGAUUUGGGAAUGGUGCUGGCUGUGACGGGUCUCAUUGCCUCAACAGGUACCCCUCCACGCAGUUUGGUAGUCUUACAGGACUGCAGUCCCUGGUCAGUGCGCUCUUUGCUCUCCUGCAGCAGCCACUGUUUCUGGCCAUGAUGGGUCCUCUCGGAGGAGACCCUCUCUGGGUAAGAACAGUCGGGGUGUCUCUCCAUUCUGCUCCUGGGAAAGUGGGGCAGUGUGGGAACUUUAGAGAGAACCCAGUCAGGGGUCCCUUGUGGACAGUGGCCAGACAAGAGGAGAAAGAUGGCCUCUCUGGAUGUGAUUCUGGCUUUCCAUUCCAAAGACCAGCAUUCCAAUCCAGGUAUCAUGAGUUGUCCCGAUCCCUGAAGGCUGCGGCUGAGUGACACGUGGAGAACUGGGGAAUUUAGAUGCUGGAAUGUGGGUUGACAGCCCUGGGACCUCUUGACCCUUGCUGUUUAAUUUUCACUCUUUUCUCACCUGCGAGUGGGGGAGGGCACUGCCCUGUGGCGCAUACACCUCCUUAUGCCAGCCCGCUCCCCACCCUCCCAGGUGAACGUGGGUCUGCUCAUCGUGAGCAUGCUAGGCUUCUGCCUGCCACUUUACCUGAUUUGCUACCGGCGCCAGCUGGAGAGGCAGCUUCAACAGAAGAGGGAAGACAGCAAGCUGUUCCUUAAGGUCAAUGGCUCAUCCAACCGGGAGGCUUUCGUGUAGGGCCCGCCUACCGCCUCAGAGCUGUGGCCUCCUGCCCGUGCUUCAGUGACUUGGCCUCUGUCAUCUCCCCGCCCCAGAGGAUCCCAUGUGCUCCCUGGAUCCUGCCUUUCACCACACUGGAGCCCACACUUCCUCACAAAGCCUGGCCCUGCCCUGGAGUGCUGGUGUGGAAGGACAGGAGAGAGCCCAGGACAAAUGAGCCUCCCACUGCCAGAAACUGGGCUGGCCUGGCCUAGCUGUCGCCCCAGGGGUUCUGGGGUCUUGGAUCUCCAUGGGGCCUGUACCUGGAGCCAAGGGGAGUCCCCAGCAAGCAGGCUCUGCCUCACUGAUCUGGAUUCUGCCUCUUGCCAAAGCAGAGGGGCCUGCCAUCCUCUCCCCACACUACCUGUCCCUGAGCUGCAUGCCCACCAACCACGCCUACCUGAGGACAAAGGCUUGCACUGUCUGCACUCCCCUCUCCUGGCCCCUUACCUCCCCUGGCCAGUCUGUGGCUGCCUGAGGAAGGAAGGACCCGCUUCCUGUUGUUGGUGCUAACCCCUUUGUAAUCCCAGUACCCCCCCCCCAUGACUAGUCCCUGGUCUGUCCUUCCCUUGAAGGCCUGUGGAGAUGACAACACCGCCCCCCCCCCCCAUCUCAGUCUGGGGAAGGGAUGGAGGACAGAAUAGUUAUACAAAGCCUCAAGAGCCACGGGCAAGGCUUCUUCCUUAGACUGGAGGAAGUACAUUUCAACUGCCACCCUUGUUCCAGCCUGCAACCUGAAGGGAACUGAGGGGACGUCACAAGAGCACCCUUCCACCCACACACAGCUGGUUUUCUGGGGUGGGAAUACAGCCAUGACUGGCAGAUACAGAGCCAGGCCUAAGUAGGGAAGAAGGCUAGCGAGUUACUGCGUGUGGUGUGUGUGUGUGUGUGUGUGUGUGUGUGUGUGUGUGUGUGGGUGGGUGUGGGUGUGGGUGUGGGUGGGUGUGGGUGUGGGUGGGUGUGGGUGUGGGUGGGUGUGGGUGUGGGUGGGUGUGGGUGUGGGUGGGUGUGGGUGUGGGUGGGUGUGGGUGUGGGUGGG